AGUGAACGCUGGCGGUAGGCCUAACACAUGCAAGUCGAACGGCAGCACAGUAAGAGCUUGCUCUUACGGGUGGCGAGUGGCGGACGGGUGAGGAAUACAUCGGAAUCUACUUUUUCGUGGGGGAUAAUGUAGGGAAACUUACGCUAAUACCGCAUACGACCUACGGGUGAAAGCAGGGGAUCUUCGGACCUUGCGCGAUUGAAUGAGCCGAUGUCGGAUUAGCUAGUUGGCGGGGUAAAGGCCCACAAAGGCGACGAUCCGUAGCUGGUCUGAGAGGAUGAUCAGCCACACUGGAACUGAGACACGGUCCAGACUCCUACGGGAGGCGGCAGUGGGGAAUAUUGGACAAUGGGCGCAAGCCUGAUCCAGCCAUACCGCGUGGGUGAAGAAGGCCUUCGGGUUGUAAAGCCCUUUUGUUGGGAAAGAAAAGCAGCAGGUUAAUACCCCGCUGUUCUGACGGUACCCAAAGAAUAAGCACCGGCUAACUUCGUG
rnacentral:rRNA from 1 species